CUGCACUCUCUGCCGCAAGCCGGAGGGGAACCGCCGCCGCCGCUUCGCCGCAGGAGCUGCACCGCCCCCCGGGAGCUGCAUUAUCCUAACGGGAAGCUGUCAGGCUGGUGGAGUGUCAGGGAGUGGCAAGAACACUGUAUGAAAAAAAAGCUACACAGAAAACCUGCAAAACAGCAGCAGUCCAAGGUUCACAAAUGGCAAAAGACACUGGUAACUGGGAGACAUUACU